CCUGGCAAACGCCGCCGCCGCCGCCCCCCACCCCGAGAAGGAGAGGCGAGAGAGGAGAGGAAGGUUCCGAGAGAUGGCAGUCCCGCAGCCAGGUGGAGGCGAGGCUGUUGGCCGGAUCCAGGAGCACAUGGCCCAUGACUAGGCGGACAUCACCGGGGGCGCCGUGCGGUACAUCAUCAAGGACCUCGACAUGGCGCUGGAGGUCGGCGACGGCCAGGAGGAGGAGGCCAAUGUGCUGCUAGGGUCAGUGUUGUACCGACAUAUGUUCUCGUCCAUGGCGGCGACCGACGACGGCGAGCUGUGCUUGCAGGGACUCAUCACCGUCGCCGAGCGCGUGAACAACAUCCACAAAUUAUUGAUCUGGCAAUACUAACCGGUGCCUGUGUUGUUGCACUUGGGCCUAGCAUUGCCGGAAUCUUCACACCAAGUGAUGAACUAGCCCAGGAAGUCACUGCUGCAUCUGUGUUAUCGGGGGAGAAGUUCUAGAGAUUGCCCGUGGAGGAAAGCUACUGGGAGUAGAUGAAGUCUGGUGUGGCUGACAUGGUCAACACGGGCGGUCGAUAGGGCGGUUCCAUCACAGCUGCCCUGUUCCGGAAACAAUUUGUUGAUGAGAAGGUUCAGUGGAUGCACAUCGAUAUGGCAGGCCCGGUGUGGAACGACAAGAAGCAUGCCGCGAUUAGCUUUGGCGUGUCCACCCUGGUGGAGUGGGUCCUCAAGAACUCAUCAUCAUCCUGAAUGAACCCCCCCUGAUUUCCAUUGGUUCUGAUAACAACGUUAGAGAUUCAUCGUCUGUACGAGUGAAUGAAUGAUUUUUAUUUGCUUUUGGCUGGCGUAUUGAGUGUGGAGCGAUAGAAUAAGGAAGGGUUUCACGGAGCAAAAUAAAGCAGCAUGUCGUUGAACACUUUCCUUGUUAGAUUAAACGGC